rnacentral:rRNA from 1 species
CUAGACUCCUACGGGAGGCAGCAGUGGGGAAUAUUGCACAAUGGGGGAAACCCUGAUGCAGCGACGCCGCGUGAGCGAUGAAGUAUUUCGGUAUGUAAAACUCUAUCAGCAGGGAAGAAGAUGACGGUACCUGACCAAGAAGCCCCGGCUGACUACGUGCCAGCAGCCGCGGUAAUACGUAGGGGGCAAGCGUUAUCCGGAUUUACUGGGUGUAAAGGGGGCGCAGACGGCAAUGCAAGCCAGGAGUGAAAGCCCGGGGCCCAACCCCGGGACUGCUCUUGGAACUGCAUGGCUGGAGUACAGGAGGGGCAGGCGGAAUUCCUAGUGUAGCGGUGAAAUGCGUAGAUAUUAGGAGGAACACCAGUGGCGAAGGCGGCUUACUGGACUGUAACUGACGUUGAGGCUCGAAAGCGUGGGGAGCAAACAGGAUUAGAUACCCUGGUA